rnacentral:lncRNA from 1 species
CUCGCCAAAAAGGACAUCUUUGGAGCCAGUGAUCCGUAUGUGAAACUUUCAUUGUACGUAGCAGAUGAGAAUAGAGAACUUGCUUUGGUGCAGACAAAAACAAUUAAAAAGGUAAGUGUCCAUCCUUAUUAAACUUGAUUUGUCAUAAUUUAAUCCAAUUAAAUUACAUAUUUUGGCUCUGUAGAAGUUUAUAUUUUAAGUUUAAGAUGGCAAUAUUUUUAUUUUAAGCAUCUCCCAGGAUUAAAUCUAUAAAGUCAACGUAGACCAAACUUUUUAGUGUUAACCCAAGAUAUCGGUUCUGGCUUUUAGUUGAAUGAUUGUAAAAACAGUAUUCUUAAAGUAAGUAUUAUUACAAAUAAGAUUUUUUUUCCCCUGCAAAGAAUAUAGCAAAAUAAGGAUUUGUUCUUGUUGGCUGGUUAUUUUUUAUAAAGAAAUCUGAAAUAAUUUAAAAUACAUUUAAUGACAUGGAGUGGCUUGUGGAAUUGGUAGGCACAAAAAGAAUGGUUUAACAUGAAACAAGUAUUACCAAAGGGAG